UACGUAGGGGGCUAGCGUUAUCCGGAAUUACUGGGCGUAAAGGGUGCCUAGGUGGUUUUUUAAGUCAGAAGUGAAAGGCUACGGCUCAACCGUAGUAAGCUUUUGAAACUGAAGAACUUGAGUGCAGGAGAGGAGAGUAGAAUUCCUAGUGUAGCGGUGAAAUGCGUAGAUAUCGGAAGGAACACCAGUGGCGAAGGCGGCGCGCUGGACCUCUUCUGACGCUGAGGCGCGAAAGCCAGGGGAGCGAACGGG
rnacentral:rRNA from 1 species